ACUAGGAAUUUUGCGCAAUGGGGGCAACCCUGACGCAGCGACACAGCGUGGAGGAGGAAGGUCUUCGGAUUGUAAACUCCUUUUAUAUGGGAAGAAUAGAUGACUGUACCAUAUGAAUAAGCACCUGCUAACUACGUGCCAGAAGCAUCGGUGAUGCGUAGGGUGCGAACGUUAUCCGGAUUUAUUGGGCGUAAAGAGAUGCGUAGGCGUUUCAGUUAGUCUUUCGUUAAAAGUCACGGCUUAACCGUGAAGAUGCGUUGGAUACUGCUGAAAUUGAGACAUGAAGGGGUGAACGGAACUCCAAGUGGAGCGGUGAAAUGCGUUGAUAUUUGGAAGAACAUCAGAGGCGAAGGCGGUUCACUGGUCAUUGUCUGACGCUAAGGCUCGAAAGCGUGGGUAGCAAAACGGAUUAGAAACCCCGGUAGUCC
rnacentral:rRNA from 1 species